UGCUCUUCCAAUUGGGCUCAAGUGAUAACAGUACCUAAAUAAGGCUGCUUGCAGGUGUUGUCACCAGUUUUGUAAAGGAAUUUCACUUUCACCUCAUGGAAUUCCCCAGUAUGAAACAAUCCACAUAAAAUGAUGAAAACUAAAACCUCUGACAAUUACUCCAAUUACUGUAGAAAGAAAACCCAAACAAACAACACUUCACUAUAAUUAUCUAUAAUUCUGUUGAAAUUAUAUGCAUUAUAAUAAAACUUUCAGCAUAGGGUGUGCAUA